rnacentral:rRNA from 1 species
CCUACGGGAGGCAGCAGGGAGGAAUAUUGGUCAAUGGGCGGAAGCCUGAACCAGCCAAGUCGCGGGAGGGAAGACGGCCCUAUGGGUUGUAAACCUCUUUUGUCAGGGAGCAAGGCCGGCUACGUGUAGCCGGACCGAGAGUACCUGAAGAAAAAGCAGCGGCGAACUCCGUGCCAGCAGCCGCGGUAAUACGGAGGAUGCGAGCGUUAUCCGGAUUGAUUGGGUUGAAAGGGUGCGUAGGCGGAAUGCCAAGUCAGCGGUAAACUCGCGGGGCGCAACCCCGGUCCGCCGUUGAAACUGGCGUUCUUGCGUGGGCGAGAAGUCUGCGGUAUGCGUGGUGUAGCGGU